AUUCCGGUUGAUCCUGCCGGAGGCCAUUGCUAUCGGAGUCCGAUUUAGCCAUGCUAGUCGUGCGAGUUCAGACUCGCGGCACCGAGCUCAGUAACACGUGGCCAAACUACCCUACAGAGACGGAUACCCUCGGGAAACUGAGGUUAACCCGUCAUACCGAUCUCAGGCUUGAAUCGCAGAGAUCACAAAACGCCCCGGCGCUGUAGGAUGCGGCUGCGGCCGAUUAGGUAGACGGUGGGGUAACGGCCCACCGUGCCAGUAAUCGGUACGGGUGAUGAGAGUCAGAGCCCGGAGACGGAAUCUGAGACAAGAUUCCGGGCCCUACGGGGCGCAGCAGGCGCGAAACCUUUACACUGCACGGAAGUGCGAUAGGGGAACCCCAAGUGCGAGGGCAUAUUAGCCCUCGCUUUUCUCGACUGUAAGGUGGUCGACGAAUAAGAGCUGGGCAAGACCGGUGCCAGCCGCCGCGGUAAUACCGGCAGCUCAAGUGAUGUCCCAUAUUAUUGGGCCCUAAAGCGUCCGUAGCU
rnacentral:rRNA from 1 species